AUGCAUUCUGUCCACAGCAUGGAGGCGCCGCCACCUGCCCGCUGCCGUCAGCACAGGCACCUGGGCUCGUGGGCAUUUCAGGUCAGCAUCAUCCAUGGAUCACAAAGUGCUGAUUCUCUGACAAGCAGAAGGCAGGCGCCCAGGUGCUCCGUUAGCCAAAGGGAGGCUCCAGUGCCGAAGACAGGCAGACGGCCAUGGCGCACACAGACCACGGUGUACACAGGCCACGGUGCACACAGACCACGACACACACAGACCAUGGUGUACACAGGCCAUGGUGCACAAAGACCACGGCGCACACAGGAGCCAAGAAAAUGUUCAUGAAGCUGCGAGCAGGAAAGCGCGGAUUUCCACGUGGAGAGGACCUUGUCCAUGGUGAUGCCGAUGUGUGGGGAUCACCGUCAGUGCGUUGCUUGUAGGAAGGCAGCUGAGAUUUUACUCUGGGUUGGGUAUUUUUAAAUUCAAAUUGGCCCCCUGCAUUUUCCUUCUAUCCUCACUGGGAAAUAGAGGAACGCCUUGUUGGGUGCCCAGGCUGCCCUAGCUCAGCACCUCUGAACUUUCCUUUCAUAUCAUCUUCCCAAUGUUGCUGUAUCUAAGAGGCUGAUCUUUUUGUUAUUUGCUGUAUGGAUUUGUUUGUCUAAAUCAGCUUACUCCUACCUGUCAGGUGGGUGUGUGCUGAGGAACAAGAACCCAGGCUGAUCCCAGACAUGCAGCUGUGUCCCUGGGCGGGAGCUGGACACCUGCGGGCUCUGCCCCACGAAAGCCCUGUCCUGUAGCCCAUGCCAGCCCAUGCCAGCUCCUGGGUCCUGGGCCACAGACUCCUCCAGCUCAGUUGCCGUCAGCCCGAACGAGGGAGAUGGGGCUGUCGGGUUAGAAGCCUCAUGGCCACACCAGCCGUCGGCCUCCCAGGCUGUCUUCUCCUCAUCACAGGGACGAGAUGACAGUGGGAGCCCCACGGACCGGACCCCAUUUCUGUGUCAGGGCAGGGCCAGGAGGAAACCACACAGGAAUUCCAGCAAAGAAUUUAAAAAAAUGUAUCGUGGUACAAUAUGUGUCACAUAAAAUGUGCCAUUUUAACCAUUUUUGCUGAACAGUUCAGUAGCGUUAGCUACGUGUACAAAGCUGUGCAACGCUGACCACCAUCUACCCGGAAAAACUUUCAUCUCUCCAAACAGAAACUCUGCCUCAUGGGACUGGGCAUAUGGUUCACGCCUGUAAUUCCAGCACUUUGAGAGGCAGAGGCAGGAGGAUCAGGAGCCCAGGAGUUUGAGGUUGGCCUGGACAACAUGGCGAGACCCCACCUCUACGAAAAAUAAAUAGCUGGGAUCACAGGCGCGCACCACCAUGCCCAGUGAAUUUUUGUAUUUUUAGUAGAGACAGGGUUUCUCCAUGUUGGCCAGGCUGGUCUCGAACUACUGACCUCAAGUGAUCUGCCCACCUUGGCCUCCCAAAGUGCUGGGAUUACAGGCAUGAGCCACC
rnacentral:lncRNA from 1 species